rnacentral:lncRNA from 1 species
UGGGGGGGGGGGAAUUCCGACCGCUUUGCACCCGAAACACCCCCCGCUCCCUUCUCAGGUCUCUCCUUUCUCCUUCUGCUCUUCGCUUCUCCUCUUUCGUUCUAAGAGAGAUUUUUCUGCUGUUGUUUUCCUCUUUCAAACACCGCCUGCACAUUCCAGCCUGGAGACGAGCAAAGGAUGGGCUGAAAACAAACAAACAAAAAAAAUCCUCCAGGGGUUUUCUUUUCUUUUCUUUUCUUUUUCCUCUCCUCCCUUUUCAUUACGAUUCCUUUGCCUGGCAGUGGUCACCGCGCAUCGAAUCCUGCGCUUUUCAUACAAUAAAACCACGAUAAUAAUAAAAGAGAGACAACGAGCGAAUACUUGAAGGGGACCGAGCGGCUCCGGGGCAGUGUUACCAUGGUUGGGUGCGAACUGCAGAGCAAAUAAGGAGAGAGCUGACAAAAGAGGGGAGAAAAAACGCCGUUUUUUUUUCUCCUCCUUUGGGUUUCUGAU